UGCUCUCUGAUAGGCUCUAUCUUAAGUCAUACUUGGUACAAAACCCAAAUUGUACAUGUCAUUACUCACAAGUUACAACUUCUCCUCUGAUGAUCUUAUGUUUGUCUCUAGCUCCUUUAACUCCUUCAAUAAGAAUUAUAUAACUCCUCCUUACCGAGGCAUCUCCAAAACGCAAUUGAACUCCAAUACAAACAAUUCAAUCCCAAAAAAAAAUUAGAGCACAAGUUGGCACCUGGUCAGUAGCAUCCACCAUGUAUAUCUCUUUAUUCCCUCUUUAAAAGUAUUCAUAAACCUUCUAUAUAAUACCUCAACCCACGUCCCCAUUAAUGUCAUCCAUUAACUUUAUCACACACUGACGGUGUGCCUAUACCUCUCACUAAAAAUAAUUAUCUACCAAAUCUAUGAUUGGCCUUUUUUACUCUUUAAAAAACAGUUUGACAAUGGCCCCUCUAACAGUUCACCAGGCAGGCUGCAGUCCACCACCACUACCCAGUGUCCACACUUCCACCACACACGCCUGCCAAGAUACCAUAUUAUCGAGAAAAAUAAUCAUAUUCUUCAGAAGGAAAAUUUCAGAGCCUAUCCUCUCUCUCUCUCUCACUUGAGACUUACAGAGUUUAGACUCCAAAGCACAAACCCAUCAAUUCAGGUGACCACAUGAAGGAUGGACGGAUUGAUGAACAAUCAAAACCUAACAAAAGUAGUAACUAUACUUGUCCUCUUGGUCGCCCACGUCUGUUCUAGUACUACUAGUAGUACUUCAGGAACUUGUCGCAACGAGUCGAUACCAAUAGGAGGAAGCAGAGGAGAAGGAGGGUUAUUAGUACCAGCGGAGCCAACGAAGCAUCGGAUCUACUCGGAUGGGAUAAGCAACGGAGGUGGGAGGAAAGGACGAGGGCUGGCACCGUUUCAGAUAUGCUUGCAGUGCAGGUGCUGCGCGGCAGGUGGGGAUCCCAACACCUGCGUCAACUUGCCCUGUUGCUUCGGCAUCGAUUGCCAACUCCCUGAUAAGCCCUUCGGCGUUUGUGCCUUCGUUCCCAAGUCUUGCAAUUGUACCACUUGUGCUACAUGAGUCCCUGAAUCAGUCAAAGCUUCAUUACUUGAUAUGAUACUUAUCUCUCCAAUUCAGGGAGGAAGGAGAAGAAGAAAAGGGGAAAUACUAUUAAAUCUUAUUAGUGGAAGAAUGAAUAUCUUCAAAUGGGUUUCUGGAUUUGGGGAGUGAGAAAUCUAAAGCUUCCUAAGACUACUUGUUAUCUAAAGUUGGUUCUCCAAUAUUAAUGGAACUUAUCCAAUACCUUAAUAUA